ACACAGAAUUUUGCUUCCCCCUUACAGCUCAGAGUGUCCAGUAAAUCAAAAAGAAGAAGAAGAAGAAGAAGAAGAAGAAGAAUAAGAAGAAGAGAAAAAACAGGAAGAAGCAGAGGAAGAAGAAGAAGAAGAAGAAGAAGAAGAAGAAGAAUCCCAAGAUGAAAACCCAGGCCCUUCUCCUGCUCGUCCUGCUGACGACUUUGGUAGCAGCCGGUCCCCUCCCUAGGAGGUACCUCUUCAGAGUUAGAUUGCCUCAUUCCUCCAGCUCACAGGAUAUAUGGGACGCUUAUAAGAACUUCAACUACUGGCAUAACUUCGACCAAUACGGAUUUUCGAGAACCGGACGUGAUGUUAGCCACGUUGCGGCAAAAUCCAGCUGAUUGAGCGAUAAAAUUGCUCUGACAGGUCGUGGAACUGGCCUUAAAGAAAGACAACAACAGUUUGACUGUAAGUAUUUAUUCUCCCACCUGAGUCCAGAAAAAAAUUUGGAAAAAAAAAGGAGGUUGCUCGCCGAGUGGUCUGCUUGUCUACUGUUCCGUAAGGAGCUUCUAACGCGAAACAAUAUUUGUUAAAAGAAAAAAAUAGUAGCAGUAUUAUUGUAUGAAUUAACAGGCCGGUACUAACUUCGCCAGCAAAAGAGUGAUUGUUGUUCAGUGUAACGUGAGUUAGAAAUAGCAUUAACAUUGCAUAUUAUUAACACGGGAUAAAAGGCCGCUGAUGAUUGUAGUGUUAUUUUGUGGUAUACGUUGAUGUUAGAAAACUUUUGUUUUAGCUACAAUAAAGUUUUAUAUCCUAUAGCAAAA